AAAGCACCAGCUGUCAUGCAUUUCUGUUGAACAUUCCAAGUACACGGAUGAAUGAAUGAUUGGAUGGAUGGAUUCUAUGAGCGUCCCAUUAUAACGGGGUGGCGGCCUGUGCGCCCAAGCUAAACAAAGAACUUCUUUGUUAUUUUUAAUUUGGCCUAUUGCCUUGUCUAGUUCAGUUAAACAAAAGUCCAUGAAUUCGCAGCACAACUUUCUGUACCCUACGGCAAAGUGACCUUAGUUUCACCACUAUUUAUUUUUGUCAUUUCUCCCUACUUUUGCUUCAUCAAUCCUCUAAACGUAUAUUACUUACUUCUAUCUGUUUACCUUUCUAUGGUUGUUUCUGAAACCCAACACUUCAUGUAGGUGAGUGCCCAAACAUAAACCCAGGUGAAUAUAUUUACAUUCAAUUAAAACAUGCUGCGUUGUUUCCUAUAGCUUCUCUACAGCAUGUACAUUUUUCUUCUUUACUGAAUCUCGCUUUAUAACUACGCGUUCUAAGGCAACCCGACCUCACUUCAAAUAGUAAAGCACUUCCCCUUAAAUUAUCAUAAAAUGCUUCCCUCCUUAUUUCGUCUUGCCCUUUCGCUAGGUACUCAAAAUAUUUCUUGUUUUCCAUCGCUACUAUCCAAUAAAUCUUUUUCGCCUCUAUGACUUUUCACCUUACGUCUUAUGUUGUCAUAUCGCUUACACUGCCGGCUGGCGAGUCUCCUUGUUUUUCCUCCACUGUGAGUCAACACUCAUCGUAUACAAAUACUGGAGCACUUUCUUUGCCCAUUUUCCUUAGCCUCUCUUUGAACCUCAUUUCACCCUGCGCUUCUGUCACUUCAAUCCUUGCCCAUCCCAUAUUGCCCUUUACAGCCUCAUUUUUCGUCUUCCCGUGAGUGCCCAACUCGAGGUGUCCCACAGUCCUUUGAUGCAUAUCAAGUCCUGAUUGCACCUCUGACUUCAUACACACCACUGAGUUCCCAAAUGUGGCGUACAGGAACAUGUGCAAACACAUUCUACAUCCCAAGAUAUGUUGCUGGAAGCGUUCAAUAAAUGCUGUUAAGUUUCACCA
rnacentral:lncRNA from 1 species